rnacentral:rRNA from 1 species
AAUAUUGGACAAUGGGGGGAACCCUGAUCCAGCCAUGCCGCGUGUGUGAAGAAGGCCUUUUGGUUGUAAGCCCUUUUAGCCAGGCGGGGGAACUCCUGGUUAAUUCCCAAGAUGCUUGGUCGUUACCUCCAGAAUAAGCACCGGCUAACCUUGUGCCAGCAGCCGCGGUAAUACAGAGGGUGCAAGCGUUAAUCGGAUUUACUGGGCGUAAAGCGCGCGUAGGUGGCCAAUUAAGUCAAAUGUGAAAUCCCCGAGCUUAACUUGGGAAUUGCAUUCGAUACUGGUUGGCUAGAGUAUGGGAGAGGAUGGUAGAAUUCCAGGUGUAGCGGUGAAAUGCGUAGAGAUCUGGAGGAAUACCGAUGGCGAAGGCAGCCAUCUGGCCUAAUACUGACACUGAGGUGCGAAAGCAUGGGGAGCAAACA